rnacentral:rRNA from 1 species
AUUGAACGCUGGCGGCCGGCCUAACACAUGCAAGUCGAGCGAGCGGCGGACGGGUGAGUAAUGUAUGGGGACUGCCCGAUAGAGGGGGAUCACUACUGGAAACUGUGGCUAAUACCGCAUACUAUCGGAUAACCCAUAUGGGAUUGGCUAGUAGGUGGUGUAAAGGCUCACCUAGGCGACGAUCUCUAGCUGGUCUGAGAGGAUGAUCAGCCAGACGGGGACGGAGACACGGCCCAGACUCCGACGGAGGCAGCAGUGGGGAAUAUGGCACAAUGGGCGCAAGCCUGAUGCAGCCAUGCCGCGUGUAUGAAGAAGGCCUUAGGGUUGUAAAGUACUUUCAGCGGGGAGGCGUUACCCGCAGAAGAAGCACCGGCUAACUCCGUGCCAGCAGCCGCGGUAAUUC